rnacentral:rRNA from 1 species
UAGCUAGUUGGUGAGGUAAAGGCUUACCAAGGCGACGAUCUGUAGCGGGUCUGAGAGGAUGAUCCGCCACACUGGAACUGAGACACGGUCCAGACUCCUACGGGAGGCAGCAGUGGGGAAUUUUGGACAAUGGGGGCAACCCUGAUCCAGCCAUGCCGCGUGAGUGAAGAAGGCCUUCGGGUUGUAAAGCUCUUUCGGCCGGGAAGAAAUCGCAUGGGCCAAUACCCUGUGUGGAUGACGGUACCGGAAUAAGAAGCACCGGCUAACUACGUGCCAGCAGCCGCGGUAAUACGUAGGGUGCGAGCGUUAAUCGGAAUUACUGGGCGUAAAGCGCGCGCAGGCGGUUUUGUAAGACAGGCGUGAAAUCCCCGGGCUUAACCUGGGAACUGCGUUUGUGACUGCAAGGCUAGAGUACGGCAGAGGGGGGUGGAAUUCCACGUGUAGCAGUGAAAUGCGUAGAGAUGUGGAGGAACACCAAUGGCGAAGGCAGCCCCCUGGGUCGAUACUGACGCUCAUGCACGAAAGCGUGGGUAGCAAACAGGAUUAGAUACCCUGGUAGUCCACGCCCUAAACUAUGUCAACUAGGUGUUGGGUGGGUAAAACCAUUUAGUACCGUAGCUAACGCGUGAAGUUGACCGCCUGGGGAGUACGGCCGCAAGGUUAAAACUCAAAGGAAUUGACGGGGACCCGCACAAGCGGUGGAUGAUGUGGAUUAAUUCGAUGCAACGCGAAAAACCUUACCUACCCUUGACAUGCCAGGAACUUGCCAGAGAUGGCUUGGUGCCCGAAAGGGAGCCUGGACACAGGUGCUGCAUGGCUGUCGUCAGCUCGUGUCGUGAGAUGUUGGGUUAAGUCCCGCAACGAGCGCAACCCUUGUCGUUAAUUGCCAUCAUUUAGUUGGGCACUUUAACGAGACUGCCGGUGACAAACCGGAGGAAGGUGGGGAUGACGUCAAGUCCUCAUGGCCCUUAUGGGUAGGGCUUCACACGUCAUACAAUGGUCGGUACAAAGGGUUGCCAAGCCGCGAGGCGGAGCCAAUCCCAGAAAGCCGAUCGUAGUCCGGAUUGCAGGCUGCAACUCGCCUGCAUGAAGUCGGAAUCGCUAGUAAUCGUGGAUCAGCAUGUCACGGUGAAUACGUUCCCGGGUCUUGUACACACCGCCCGUCACACCAUGGGAGCGGGUUCCGCCAGAAGUAGGUAGCCUAACCGCAAGGGGGGCGCUUACCACGGCGGGGUUCGUGACUGGGGUGAAGUCGUAACAAGGUAGCCGUAGGGGAACCUGCGGCUG